AGUGAAAGUUGUUGCCUAGAGAACCGAGAGCGUAGCUACUUCUUGCGUCGCUUUACGCUAUUCAUCACACUUAACGUAUUAAAACACUUAGUAGCUUAGAAACUUGCGUUUAACGUGAGGGACCAUAAGGCCCUUCAUACGGACAAACUCCCAGCA
rnacentral:rRNA from 1 species